UGGGGAAUAUUGGACAAUGGGCGCAAGCCUGAUCCAGCCAUACCGCGUGAGUGAAGAAGGCCUUCGGGUUGUAAAGCUCUUUUGUUGGGAAAGAAAUCCUGUCGGUUAAUACCCGGUAGGGAUGACGGUACCCAAAGAAUAAGCACCGGCUAACUUCGUGCCAGCAGCCGCGGUAAUACGAAGGGUGCAAGCGUUACUCGGAAUUACUGGGCGUAAAGCGUGCGUAGGUGGUUUGUUAAGUCUGAUGUGAAAGCCCUGGGCUCAACCUGGGAAUGGCAUUGGAUACUGGCAGGCUAGAGUGCGGUAGAGGGUAGUGGAAUUCCCGGUGUAGCAGUGAAAUGCGUAGAGAUCGGGAGGAACAUCUGUGGCGAAGGCGACUACCUGGACCAGCACUGACACUGAGGCACGAAAGCGUGGGGAGCAAACA
rnacentral:rRNA from 1 species